CGCAGGGCUCGGGUCGGCUGCCU
rnacentral:miRNA from 1 species